rnacentral:sRNA from 1 species
GGCGAUAUCGACGACUUCCGAUUGUUCAUACAGUUUGCCAACGGCUUCACUGAUGGUUGGAUGCCAGUUAACCGCGCGGUUGACGGCAUCGCCAAGCUUGAGCGUACCCGGCGCCGCUUUGCCGGGUACGGGGGCGAUCCGGCCAUUCAGUGAGGGUAAUUCCUGUUCUUCGCUGAGCACGCCGGGAUUGAUGACCGACGCUGGAUUUGCCGCGAGAACAGGGACAGAUAUCAGGCAGCACGAGAGCCACCAGUAAGGCAUCUUUAUUCCCAUUCUUUGUCCCUAAUAAAAAAAAUGCUGCCUAAUGCCUGCGCCCGGGCGCUGAACGCCCGGGUC